rnacentral:rRNA from 1 species
UACAGAGGUCUCAAGCGUUGUUCGGAUUCAUUGGGCGUAAAGGGUGUGUAGGUGGCGCUGUAAGUCGGGUGUGAAAUUUCGGAGCUUAACUCCGAAACUGCAUUCGAUACUGCGGUGCUUGAGGACUGGAGAGGAGACUGGAAUUCAUGGUGUAGCAGUGAAAUGCGUAGAUAUCAUGAGGAAUACCAGUGGCGAAGGCGGGUCUCUGGACAGUUCCUGACACUGAGACACGAAGGCCAGGGGAGCAAACGGG